rnacentral:rRNA from 1 species
UACGGGGGGGGGCAAGGCGUUGUUCGGAAUUACUGGGCGUAAAAGGCGCGUUAGGCGGCCAACUAAGUCGGACGUGAAAUCCCAAGGCUCAACCUUGGAACUGCGUCCGAUACUGGAUGGCUUGAAUCCGGGAGAGGGAUGUGGAAUUCCAGGUGUAGCGGUGAAAUGCGUAGAUAUCUGGAGGAACACCGGUGGCGAAGGCGGCAUCCUGGACCGGU